GAUGAAGAACGCAGCGAAAUGCGAUACUUGGUGUGAAUUGCAGAACCCCGUGAACCAUCGAGUCUUUGAACGCAAGUUGCGCCCGAAGCCAUUAGGCCGAGGGCACGCCUGCCUGGGCGUCACACGUCGUUGCCCCCCCAUCUACUCCUUCGGGAUUGCGGGGGGCGGAUGAUGGCCUCUCGUGCGCCUCGUCGCGCGGUUGGCCUAAAUGCCAAGUCCUCGGCGACGCACGCCACGACAAUCGGUGGUUGCGAAACCUCGGUUGCCUGUCGUGUGCGGUCGUCGCGCAUCGAGGGCUCGAAAAAAUUGCCGGGCUUCGGCUCGACUUUCAACGCGACCCCAGGUCAGGCGGGGUUACCCGCUGAAUUUAAGCAUAUCAAUAAGCGGAGGA
rnacentral:misc_RNA from 1 species